GUGUUUGUGGCCAAGUUGGUAAGGCAUCAGACUUUUAAUCUGAAAAUCGCAGGUUCAAAUCCUGUCAAACACA
rnacentral:tRNA from 1 species